AUUGAACGCUGGCGGCAUGCCUUACACAUGCAAGUCGAACGGUAACAGGUCUUCGGAUGCUGACGAGUGGCGAACGGGUGAGUAAUGUAUCGGAACGUGCCCAGUUGUGGGGGAUAACUACUCGAAAGAGUGGCUAAUACCGCAUACGACCUGAGGGUGAAAGCGGGGGAUCGCAAGACCUCGCGCAAUUGGAGCGGCCGAUAUCAGAUUAGGUAGUUGGUGGGGUAAAGGCUCACCAAGCCAACGAUCUGUAGCUGGUCCGAGAGGACGACCAGCCACACUGGGACUGAGACACGGCCCAGACUCCUACGGGAGGCAGCAGUGGGGAAUUUUGGACAAUGGGCGCAAGCCUGAUCCAGCAAUGCCGCGUGCAGGAUGAAGGCCGUCGGGUUGUAAACUGCUUUUGUACGGAACGAAAAGCCCUGGGUUAAUACCCUGGGGUCAUGACGGUACCGUAAGAAUAAGCACCGGCUAACUACGUGCCAGCCGCCGCGGUAAAAC
rnacentral:rRNA from 1 species